rfam:Cladophialophora immunda strain CBS 83496 unplaced genomic scaffold supercont1.4, whole genome shotgun sequence.
GACAGGUUGGCCGAGUGGUUCAAGGCGGCAGAUUUAAGCCCUUUUUUCAAAGGAAGAACUCUGCUUUCCGAGAGGAAGCGUGGGUAAGUAACAUACAUAGACACCUCGCCAAUAUGCCAUCGCCCAACAAACAGUCAUUAACAGAAGGAUAGGUUCGAACCCCACACCUGUCA